UGUUAAGCGGUGCCAAGGGCUGUAGUUGCUAACAGGCCUUGAAAGCUGUUACGAGCAGGGACAUGCUAAAAGGAAGUUCCAUCAUGUUACUGGCUGUUGCCAUUAGAUAAUUUGCUGAACUUUUGUUGAAGGAUUUUAAUUGCUGUAUUGAGGUUCAGACGCUGUAAAUUUUAUGAGCUUUUACAUGAUUCCCUGUCCACUAUUAAAUCACUCAUUCUCUUUUUUUUGGAAAGCUGUCUGACUUCAUUAUUCAUGCCAUCAGCAUCUAUUUGCCAUCAUUGGGGAUAGAAGCUUGUACUGCAUGGGUAGGCACAAAACCACAUUCGUCAGGAAUUAUAUACAUAUGUAUGUAUUACACACAACAGUCUGGGUCGCCCUGGUCACCUCACUUGCUCAUCAUGUGGAAUUGUGCAGUAUAGUGCACAGCCAGCUGGCCUGUACAGGCAUCUAUUGUCUCUAUUCUUUACAAGUCUGGAGGCUGCUACCAAAAUCAUCACAGCAACAGCAGUACCUUUUCUUGGCAUGCAAUUAUACACACAUGUUCUUCAUCAACCUUCACCUGUGACCUGUUUCACACUACUACUGCACUGCUUCCAUUUUUCCUAGUGAACACCUACUACACACCACUGAACCACAUAGCUCUAGACUGCAGCUGCCCACUUGCUCCGUAUCCCUGCUCAUCAAGGAACCUCUCUAAGCAACCAACGCCAGCUUGCCCUUGUACUGGACCAUGGAGUCAUUCCAUAGAACAUUUGUGCAGCCAUGGGAGAAAGCCCACUCCUUGACCUGCUGCUUGCUGAAUCUGCCAAGUAGGCUCUGCACUGGAAGCUCUACGGCCGUGUGCUUCUUGAGCUCCUUGCCAACCUUAAUGGCUAGCCCCACCUGAUCAGCAGCAUGAGAAGAGCCUGCGG
rnacentral:lncRNA from 1 species